GACAGAGGGUGCAAACGUUGUUCGGAAUUACUGGGCGUAAAGCGCGUGUAGGCGGCCAUCUAAGUCGGGCGUGAAAUCCCACGGCUCAACCGUGGAAGUGCACUCGAAACUGGAUGGCUAGAGUCCUGGAGAGGAAGGUGGAAUGCUUGGUGUAGAGGUGAAAUUCGUAGAUAUCAGGAGGAACACCAAUUGCGAAGGCAGCUCGCUGGGACGUUACUGACGCUGAGACGCGAAAGCGUGGGGAGCAAACAGG
rnacentral:rRNA from 1 species